GGCCCGUAACUUAGUGGUAGUGCAUUUGCUUUGCAUUCAAAAGCUCCCUGGUUCAAUCCCGGGCAUUGCCA